rnacentral:rRNA from 1 species
GUGCCAGCCGCCGCGGUAAUACGAAGGGGGCUAGCGUUGCUCGGAAUUACUGGGCGUAAAGGGAGCGUAGGCGGAUAGUUUAGUCAGAGGUGAAAGCCCAGGGCUCAACCCUGGAAUUGCCUUUGAUACUGGCUAUCUUGAGUGUGGGAGAGGUUAGCGGAACUCCGAGUGUAGAGGUGAAAUUCGUAGAUAUUCGGAAGAACACCAGUGGCGAAGGCGGCUAACUGGCCCAUUACUGACGCUGAGGCUCGAAAGCGUGGGGAGCAAACAGGAUUAGAUACCCUGGUAGUCCACGCUGUAAACGAUGAGUGCUAGUUGUCGGUGCGCAUGCGCAUCGGUGACGCAGCUAACGCAUUAAGCACUCCGCCUGGGGAGUACGGUCGCAAGAUUAAAACUUAAAUGAAUUGACGG